rnacentral:ncRNA from 1 species
UCUUAUCAAGAGAGGUGUAGGGAAUAGGCCCGACGAUACCUCAGCAACAGGCCGAAUGUGGUACUGUGCUAAUUCCUUUAGUUAUUUGUGACUUGAAGAUGAGA